rnacentral:rRNA from 1 species
AUUGAACGCUGGCGGCAUGCUUUACACAUGCAAGUCGAACGGUAACAGGCCGCAAGGUGCUGACGAGUGGCGAACGGGUGAGUAAUGCAUCGGAACGUGCCCAGUCGUGGGGGAUAACGCAGCGAAAGCUGCGCUAAUACCGCAUACGAUCUAUGGAUGAAAGCGGGGGACCGUAAGGCCUCGCGCGAUUGGAGCGGCCGGUGUCAGAUUAGGUAGUUGGUGGGGUAAAGGCUCACCAAGCCAACGAUCUGUAGCUGGUCUGAGAGGACGACCAGCCACACUGGGACUGAGACACGGCCCAGACUCCUACGGGAGGCGGCAGUGGGGAAUUUUGGACAAUGGGCGCAAGCCUGAUCCAGCAAUGCCGCGUGCAGGAAGAAGGCCUUCGGGUUGUAAACUGCUUUUGUACGGAACGAAACGGUCCUGGUUAAUACCUGGGGCUAAUGACGGUACCGUAAGAAUAAGCACCGGCUAACUACGUGCCAGCAGCCGCAGUAACAC